UACGUAGGGUCCGAGCGUUGUCCGGAAUUAUUGGGCGUAAAGGGCUCGUAGGCGGUUUGUCACGUCGGGAGUGAAAACUCAGGGCUCAACCCUGAGCGUGCUUUCGAUACGGGCAGACUAGAGGUAUGCAGGGGAGAACGGAAUUCCUGGUGUAGCGGUGGAAUGCGCAGAUAUCAGGAGGAACACCGGUGGCGAAGGCGGUUCUCUGGGCAUUACCUGACGCUGAGGAGCGAAAGCAUGGGGAGCGAACAGG
rnacentral:rRNA from 1 species